rnacentral:rRNA from 1 species
GAUGAACGCUGGCGGCGUGCUUAACACAUGCAAGUCGAACGAUGAACCGGGUGCUUGCACUCGGGGAUUAGUGGCGAACGGGUGAGUAACACGUGAGCAACCUGCCCCUGACUCUGGGAUAAGCGCUGGAAACGGCGUCUAAUACUGGAUAUGUCCCGUCACCGCAUGGUGUGCGGGUGGAAAGAUUUUUCGGUUGGGGAUGGGCUCGCGGCCUAUCAGCUUGUUGGUGAGGUAAUGGCUCACCAAGGCGUCGACGGGUGGCCGGCCUGAGAGGGUGACCGGCCACACUGGGACUGAGACACGGCCCAGACUCCUACGGGAGGCAGCAGUGGGGAAUAUUGCACAAUGGGCGCAAGCCUGAUGCAGCAACGCCGCGUGAGGGAUGACGGCCUUCGGGUUGUAAAGCUCUUUCGUCCGGGACGAUAAUGACGGUACCGGAAGAAGAAGCCCCGGCUAACUUCGUGCCAGCAGCCGCCGUAA